UGUCAUCGGUUUAUUGGCGUAAACGCGAC
rnacentral:sRNA from 1 species